AAAUAUCCACUUAAAGACAUUACAAACAGAGUGUUUCCUAACUGCUCUAUGAAAAGAAAGGUUAAACUCUGUGAGUUGAACGCACACAUCACAAAGAAGUUUCUGAGAAUCAUUCUGUCUAGUUUUUAUACGAAGAUAUUUCCUUUUCUACCAUUGACCUCAAAGCGGCUGAAAUCUCCACUUGCAAAUUCCACAAAAAGAGUGUUUCAAAUCUGCUCUGUGUAAACCAUCGUUCAACUCUGUGAGUUGAAUACACACAACACAAGGAAGAUUCUGAGAAUUCUUCUGUCUAGCAGAAUAUGAAGAAAUCCCGUUUCCAACGAAGGCCACAAGAUGUCAGAAUAUCCACUUACAGAAUUUACAAACAGAGUGUUUCCUAACUGCUCUAUGAAAAGAAAGGUUAAACUCUGUGAGUUGAACGAACACAUCACAACGCAGUUUGUGGGAAUGAUUCUGUCUAGUUUUGAAACGAAGAUAUUUCCUUUUCUGCCAUUGACCUUAAAGCGCUUCAAAUCUCCACUUGCCAAUUGCACAAAAAGAGUGUUUCAAAUCUGCUCUGUCUAAGGGAACGUUCAACUCUGUGAGUUGAAUGUACACAACACAAGGAAGUUACUGGGAAUUAUUCUGUCUAGCCUUACAUGAAAAAAACCCGUUUCCAACGAAGGCCUCUAAGUGGUCAAAAUAUCCACGUGCAGACUUUACAAACAGAGUGUUUCCAAACUGCUGAAUGAAAAGAAAAGUUAAACUCUGAGAGCUGAACGCACACAUCGCAGAGCAGUUUCUGAGAAUGAUUCUGUCUAGUUUUUAUACGAAGAUAUUUGCUUUUCUACCUUUGGCCU
rnacentral:lncRNA from 1 species